rnacentral:rRNA from 1 species
ACAUGGAUAACCGUGGUAAUUCUAGAGCUAAUACAUGCUGUUAAGCCCAACUUAUGGAAGGGCCGUAUUUAUUAGAUAACAGACCAAUAUUCUUCGUGUCUAUUGUGGUGAAUCAUAGUAACUAAUCGGAUCGUAUGGGCUAGUCCCUCGACAAACCAUUCAAGUUUCUGCCCCAUCAGCUUUCGAUGGUAGUGUAUUGGACUACCAUGGCUUUCACGGGUAACGGAGGAUUAGGGUUCGAUUCCGGAGAGGGAGCCUGAGAAACGGCUACCACAUCUAAGGAAGGCAGCAGGCGCGUAAAUUACCCAAUUCUGACUCAGAGAGGUAGUGACAAGAAAUAACGGGCAGGGACAUACGUCCCUGGACUGCAAUGAACCGAAUCUACACACCUUAGUAAGUAACAAUU